ACUUGUGUUACUCCCACAAAACAAUUUGGUUUUCCUCACACACCCCCCUGCCCUGUUUCCUUUGCUCCAUUCCUCUUGUGACUUGGGUUUAAACCCUUUCAAACACUUGCAGAUUGGAGACUCGGAAGCUUUGCAAACCCCAAAAGGUCCACAGAUUCCAUAAUGGUCACAUGGAUUCUUUGGGGCCUCCCAGUCAAGAUUCCAGUUCUCACCAUGUUCGGAAUACAUAAGCUUUAGUGUACCUUGAUAAGAGAUUUCCAUAUAUGCCAGAGUUCUGUUAAAGAAAAAAGAGAAAUACUUUGUUCCCUGCUGCACAUUAUCAUCUAGAUUUAAUCCACUUAGAUAUUCAUCAUUCAUUCCUGGUAUGCCGAGGAACUUUGUUUUGUCCCAUGGCCCACUUCUCCAGUAGGGAGUUGAUCCAUUAAUCCAAAUGAACAUUUGUGUUGGGAUCUGUGGUGCCAAUCCAACCGAGAACAACCCGGUUGAUCCAUCACUCUCACUUUUCCAGGCAGUCAAGACAUCCCUCUUUCCAGAUUUGUUAUCGAAUCCCAGCAACAUCUUUGGUAGAAGUGUGUCACCAGGAUAAUCAAAGCUCCUCCAUAAUUGAGCUCCUAUAUCAUCUUGGACAACAAAGUUUCCACUGUCUAAAAGAAGUGCAGCUGAACCAUUAGAUGGCACUAAAAUAUUGGUUGACCAAAUACAACUCUGUUUCCCAUCUACAAGCUCCAGGUUCCCAUUGCUGUUAAUUGUCAAACUAGCCAAUGUGUCUGUAACUGAAAGAGCCUUUUCUCUGUUGGCCACCCAAACAACUUUGCGGGGAAAUAUAGUCUUGUGCCAUAUCCCCACAUACUUGUUAGCAGAAUUAUUAGGACUGAAGAAGCCCAAUUCGAAAAUGUGGCCUGGGGAGACAAGAGUUUGUCCCUCUGCUAAUGGUUGUGAAGAAGUUAUGUUAUAAACUUCUGCACAAUAAUGCUGUGACAGAAACCAAUUGAAAAAGAAUAGGAUGAAGAUGGAGGGAUUAAAAGCAUGAAAAGUUUCAGUUCUCUUACCCAUUUCAAGCUUGUUAAUCUCCCUGCCCAACACGAGGUAUCUAAUUGUCAACCAAAACAAUAUUGCAUGUGGUUUUGGGCCAAUCAAUCAAUCAAUCUCUCUCUCUCUCUCUCUCUCUCUCUCUCUCUUUAUAAUAACAUCACAAACAAAUUAGCUAGUGUUCCUCUCUGGUUGGGGCCUGCCUUACUGACCAGCGAAAAGAAAAAGUAGUCAUGCGCAGAAAGCUACUUUUAAUACUAAACAAAAUAGCUUAUAGGACCACCUACGAAUAAUCUUCCUCACCCCGAAACUCAGAUUGACUAAAUAUAUAAAUUUGGGUAUCUAUAAAGAAAUCACAGAAGAAAGAAAAACGUCGGGAAAACAAACAGUUGGUGGGAAGCUGCUACGAACCUCAAAUUUACAGCAGCCAAACAAAGUCGGAGCUUUGUCUCCAUUUUUCCACAGAACCGUAUUAACAAGUUACAGAAACCAAUCUUUGACAUGGUCAUGAGGCAAGCGGGGGUGUUUCGAAAAUUCAGAAAGCUUUAUAAUCAAUCUCCAGGUCAACAGUCAAGAAUCAUGUUAGUCAAUAAUGUUGAAAAGACAAAAAGAUCAAGGCUUUUUUAGCUCAUAACAACCCAACUUCAAUUUGAAAGAUAAAGUUUUGUUAUUGCUGUCACAUAUUAUGUGUUAGACAAUCACAAUUUGUCUGAAAAAUAACAAGGGAAGUGGAGUUGAACCCAAAAAACCACGUUUUUCUUUACCUUUUAAUAAUAGCAUAAGAUAUUUGAACACAUACAAAACAUAUGUAUCAAAUCUAAUAAUAGCAUAGGCUAGCAUUGGAUCAGGACAUUAAAGGGAUGUUAUACUACUAACACCCGUCUUAUAAUGUUUUUUUGGCGCAUUUUAGCAAAAUAUCCCAUGAAAGGAAAACCUUCAUUCACUAUACCAAAAGGAAAACUUCAGAAUGGCCAAAAGUCAGUAGAUGCAAAAAUUUGCAAUUUCUUAUCGUCCUUGAAGAAGUGUUAUGGUAUCUUCAUUUGCAGAGCAAAUAUUGUCAAACUGUGGUUGUGGAUCAGAGACUGAGCUUUGGGAAGUAAAAAUAGGCCGCUUAGGUUGUGGGCGAUCUGUCUCCCUACUCAGCAUGAAAACUACAUCUGGCAUGGUUGGCCUAUCUGCAGCAUUGUCCUGUACACAAAGAAGCCCAAUGUGCACACAUCUCAUCACUUCUGUUGACGAAUAUGAAUCUGCCAAAACUUCAUCAACCAAGUCCAAUCCCCUGCCUUCAUUCCAUGAGUGCCAUGCCUGAAAAAGUUUCAUAUAUGUUGGCUACAAUUGUUAGACUCUGUUGUAUUUAGCUUCAUAUAGAUUGUUUGACAAUUUAUAAGAGUUUAGAGUGUGAACUUACAUAAUCUAUGAAGCCUAGCUGUUGGUCAUGGUAAUAGAAGCUGGUAUUUUUCCUGCCACCAACAAUCUCCAACAGCAAGACUCCAAAGCUAUAUAUAUCGGAUUUUUCAGAAAAUAUCCCGCGCAUGGCAUACUCCGGAGACAUAUAGCCACUGUACAGGAAAUUCAUUAUCCACUAACUUAUUAUUAUUCCUGAUAACAUGCUAAAAAGCAUUGGAAAUUUAGUUGGUUAAUAACAAUUCUGAUAAUAGGGAAGAAAUGAUUCUUACAGAGUUCCCACAACCUUCUGAGUGUUUGCUAGAUUCUGUGUCCCUUCAAAGAUACGUGCCAGUCCAAAAUCCGAAAUUUUUGGGCUCAUCUUCUCAUCCAACAGAAUAUUACUUACCUUCAAAUCUCUAUGUAUUACCUUCAAACAUGAAUCAUAGUGGAGAUAAAGAAGUCCUCUAGCAACACCUUGAAUAAUAUUGAAGCGUUUAGCCCAAUCAAGCUCUGCUCUUCUCAUUGGACCUAAUCAAUUCACCCAUUUGAAAUGAAAUCAGUAGUGUCAUUCAUAUAUUUGGUGCAUAGUUCAAUGAAAACAAUGAUUUAAUUGCUAUAAAAUAGAGACACAGUUGUAAGAACACUAGUAAGCAGCGCUUAAACAGGUAGGUGUGAUAUACUGAAGAGCUAAACUGUACUCAAAGAUUGUGCAUAUCAGUUAAUAGUUCCCCUGAGCUCCACAUUCUAGGAAAAGCUCAUAGAUUACCAGUGAUAUUGAAGAAAGAUAUGUAACAAUGGGAAAUUGCAGCCUAACAUAAAGGGCCAGUGAAACUUACUGAACAAAAGAGUAUCCAAGCUUUUGUUUGGCAUGAACUCAUAAAUUAGUAGCUUCUCAUCAUCUUUAAUGCAGCAACCCAUGAGCCUUACAAGAUUCUUAUGUUGGAGUUUGGAGAUCAACAGCAUCUCAUUCUUGAACUCUUCUAUGCCUUGUACUGAGCUACUAGAUAGUCUUUUUACUGCUAUUUCCUUCCCUUCUUGUAGCUUACCCUACACAAGGUCCACAAAUUAAUCAUUGCAUUCAUGUCUGUAUCAUUAUAUAUAUCCUUCGAAAAGAAAAAAAAGAAAGAAAGAAUAAUCACCCUAUAUACAGGCCCGAAUCCUCCUUCUCCGAGUUUGUUUGUGAUGCUGAAAUUGCUCGUAGCAAUUAAUAUGGUAUCAAAAUCAUAGAUUACUAGCUCUGAUGGAUCAUGUUUUCUUAUAUAUUCAUGAAGAAGAGCGUCUCUUGAAGUCUCAAUCAUAUCAGCCAUUUCAGAGUCCUUAGGUGUUACUUUGACGUUUCCUGAUUUGCAAAUAUAGCAACCAAACUCGAAGUCAGAGAAAAACAAAAAAGCAGUAAAUAUGCUCUUAUAAUGUAAUGCAUUGAAGUUAUAUUGUUUUGAUUAAUACUUCAAACAGAGGAAGGGUGAGAUCAUGGGCUAAUGCAUUAAUUGCAUCCCUCCACCUCAUUCUCUUACUCUUUUGGUUAGAUCGCAAUCUGUGCAAGCUAAACACUAUGCCAGCCAAGAUACUGAUAAAACAAACAGCUAUGAGGCUGACCAUUAUCUUUAUUUGCUUUCUUUCACCUGAAAAAAUGAAUUUGUGUCACAUAAAGUAGGUGACAGAGAAAAGAAAAGAUACUGCUAAUUAGAGUUGUGCAAGCAAUAUUAUCACUUACCUAAUUCUGCAUGUGCUAGGCGAAUAAAAAGAUCGUCUCCACCAGAGGCAAACUCUUGAAUAUCAAUAAGGUCUUUGGACCAGACCAAACACCCUAUAUUGUUAAUAUGUGUAUAAGCCAGGCAAGAACAAUUACCUACGCACUGUACCUUGCAGUCUUCAGCACCCAAAUUCGAAAUAUACUCAUGAAAAUCUGGUAGGUUUACCUUUGACAUUUUCAAAAACCCAUCUUGUUUUCCUCUCAGAGGAACUGAGUUACUUGUGUUACUCCCACAAAACAAUUUGGUUUUCCUCACACACCCCCCUGCCUUGUUUCCUUUGCUCCAUUCCUCUUGUGACUUGGGUUUAAACCCUUUCAAACACUUGCAGAUUGGAGACUCGGAAGCUUUGCAAACCCCAAAAGGUCCACAUAUUCCAUAAUGGUCACAUGGAUUCUUUGGGGCCUCAAAGUCAAGAUUCCAGUUCUCACCAUGUUCGGAAUACAUAAGCUUUAGUGUACCUUUAUAAGAGAUUUCCAUAUAUGCCAGAAUUCUGUUCAAGAAAAAAGAGAAA
rnacentral:lncRNA from 1 species